rnacentral:rRNA from 1 species
GCAAGUCGAGCGCACCUUCGGGUGAGCGGCGGACGGGUGAGUAACGCGUGGGAAUAUGCCCUUCUCUACGGAAUAGCCACUGGAAACGGUGAGUAAUACCUUAUACGCCCUUCGGGGGAAAGAUUUAUCGGAAUUGGAUUAGCCCGCGUUAGAUUAGAUAGUUGGUGGGGUAAUGGCCUACCAAGCCUACGAUCUAUAGCUGGUUUGAGAGGAUGAUC